AGCAAUGUGGCUUAGUGGUGAGAGCAUGAUCUUGGGAGUCAGAAGUCGUGGGUUCUAAUCCCGGCUCUGUCA
rnacentral:tRNA from 1 species